GGCAGCGUAGCCUAGUGGUUAGAGUGUAGAGGCGGCAGGGUAGCCUAGUGGUUAGAGUGUAGAGGCGGCAGGGUAGCCUAGUGGUUAGAGUGUAGAGGCGGCAGGUAGCCUAGUGGUUAGAGUGUAGAGGAGGUAGGUAGCCUAGUGGUUAGAGUGGAGGGGCGGCAGGUAGCCUAGUGGUUAGAGUGUAGAGGCGGCAGGUAGCCUAGUGGUUAGAGUGUAGAGGAGGCAGGGUAGCCUAGUGGUUAGAGUGUAGAGGUGGCAGGUAGCCUAGUGGUUAGAGUGUAGAGGAGGCAGGUAGCCUAGUGGUUAGAGUGUAGAGGCGGCAGGUAGCCUAGUGGUUAGAGUGUAGAGGAGGUAGGUAGCCUAGUGGUUAGAGUGUAGAGGCGGCAGGUAGCCUAGUGGUUAGAGUGUAGAGGAGGUAGGUAGCCUAGUGGUUAGAGUGUAGAGGCGGCAGGUAGCCUAGUGGUUAGAGUGUAGAGGAGGUAGGUAGCCUAGUGGUUAGAGUGUAGAGGUGGCAGGUAGCCUAGUGGUUAGAGUGUAGAGGAGGCAGGUAGCCUAGUGGUUAGAGUGUAGAGGUGGCAGGUAGCCUAGUGGUUAGAGUGUAGAGGUGGCAGGUAGCCUAGUGGUUAGAGUGUAGAGGAGGCAGGUAGCCUAGUGGUUAGAGUGUAGAGGCGGCAGGUAGCCUAGUGGUUAGAGUGUAGAGGUGGCAGGUAGCCUAGUGGUUAGAGUGUAGAGGUGGCAGGUAGCCUAGUGGUUAGAGUGUAGAGGAGGCAGGUAGCCUAGUGGUUAGAGUGUAGAGGUGGCAGGUAGCCUAGUGGUUAGAGUGUAGAGGUGGCAGGUAGCCUAGUGGUUAGAGUGUAGAGGCGGCAGGGUAGCCUAGUGGUUAGAGUGUAGAGGCGGCAGGGUAGCCUAGUGGUUAGAGUGUAGAGGCGGCAGGGUAGCCUAGUGGUUAGAGUGUAGAGGCGGCAGGGUAGCCUAGUGGUUAGAGUGUAGAGGCGGCAGGGUAGCCUAGUGGUUAGAGUGUAGAGGUGGCAGGGUAGCCUAGUGGUUAGAGUGUAGAGGUGGCAGGUAGCCUAGUGGUUAGAGUGUAGAGGUGGCAGGUAGCCUAGUGGUUAGAGUGUAGAGGCGGCAGGGUAGCCUAGUGGUUAGAGUGUAGAGGCGGCAGGGUAGCCUAGUGGUUAGAGUGUAGAGGCGGCAGGUAGCCUAGUGGUUAGAGUGUAGAGGUGGCAGGUAGCCUAGUGGUUAGAGUGUAGAGGUGGCAGGUAGCCUAGUGGUUAGAGCGUUGGACUAGUAACCGGAAGGUUGCGAGUUCAAACCCCCGAGCUGACAAGGUACAAAUCUGUCGUUCUGCCCCUGAACAGGCAGUUAACCCACUGUUCCUAGGCCGUCAUUGAAAAUAAGAAUAUGUUCUUAACUGACUUGCCUGGUUAAAUAAAGG